rnacentral:rRNA from 1 species
AGGGUUUGAUCAUGGCUCAGAACGUACGCUGGCGGCACGCCUUAUACAUGCAAGUCGAACGAAGUAGCAAUACUUAGUGGCAGACGGGUGAGUAACAUGUGGGUAUCUUCCCUUUGGCCUGGAAUAACACGAGGAAACUUGUGCUAAUACCGGAUAAGUCUUUACGGAGAAAGCUUUAUGCACCAUUGGAUGAGCCCGCACUUGAUUAGUUUGUUGGUGGGGUAAUGGCCUACCAAGACAAUGAUCAAUAGCUGAUUUGAGAGGAUGAUCAGCCACAUUGGAACUGAGACACGGUCCAAACUCCUACGGGAGGCAGCAGUAGGGAAUCUUGCACAAUGGAGGAAACUCUGAUGCAGCGAUGCCGCGUGAGUGAAGAAGGCCUUUGGGUUGUAAAGCUCUUUCGUCGGGGAAGAAAAUGACUGUACCCGAAUAAGAAGGUCCGGCUAACUUCGUGCCAGCAGCCGCGGUAAUACGAAGGGACCUAGCGUAGUUCGGAAUUACUGGGCUUAAAGAGUUCGUAGGUGGUUAAAAAAGUUGGUGGUGAAAUCCCAGAGCUUAACUCUGGAACUGCCAUCAAAACUUUUUAGCUAGAGUAUGAUAGAGGAAAGCAGAAUUUCUAGUGUAGAGGUGAAAUUCGUAGAUAUUAGAAAGAAUACCGAUUGCGAAGGCAGCUUUCUGGA